rnacentral:rRNA from 1 species
AACGAACGCUGGCGGCAGGCUUAACACAUGCAAGUCGAGCGCCCCGCAAGGGGAGCGGCAGACGGGUGAGUAACACGUGGGAAGCUACCCAUCUCUACGGAACAACUCCGGGAAACUGGAGCUAAUACCGUACACGCCCUUUGGGGGAAAGGUUUAUCGGAGAUGGAUGAGCCCGCGUAGGAUUAGCUAGUUGGUGGGGUAAAGGCCUACCAAGGCGACGAUCCAUAGCUGGUCUGAGAGGAUGAUCAGCCACACUGGGACUGAGACACGGCUCAGACUCCUACGGGAGGCAGCAGUGGGGAAUAUUGGACAAUGGGCGCAAGCCUGAUCCAGCCAUGCCGCGUGAGUGAUGAAGGCCCUAGGGUUGUAAAGCUCUUUCACCGGUGAAGAUAAUGACGGUAACCGGAGAAGAAGCCCCUGCUAACUUCGUGCCAGCCGCCGCCGUAA